rnacentral:rRNA from 1 species
AACAGGAUUAGAUACCCUGGUAGUCCACGCCCUAAACGAUGUCAACUAGUUGUCGGGUCUUCAUUGACUUGGUAACGUAGCUAACGCGUGAAGUUGACCGCCUGGGGAGUACGGUCGCAAGAUUAAAACUCAAAGGAAUUGACGGGGACCCGCACAAGCGGUGGAUGAUGUGGAUUAAUUCGAUGCAACGCGAAAAACCUUACCUACCCUUGACAUGUAUGGAAUCCUGCUGAGAGGUGGGAGUGCCCGAAAGGGAGCCAUAACACAGGUGCUGCAUGGCUGUCGUCAGCUCGUGUCGUGAGAUGUUGGGUUAAGUCCCGCAACGAGCGCAACCCUUGUCCCUAGUUGCUACGCAAGAGCACUCUAGGGAGACUGCUGGUGACAAACCGGAGGAAGGUGGGGAUGACGUCAAGUCCUCAUGGCCCUUAUGGGUAGGGCUUCACACGUCAUACAAUGGUCGGAACAGAGGGUCGCCAACCCGCGAGG